rnacentral:rRNA from 1 species
AUUGAACGCUGGCGGCAUGCUUUACACAUGCAAGUCGAACGGACUUAGGGGCUUGCUCCUGAGUUAGUGGCGAACGGGUGAGUAAUGCAUCGGAACGUACCGUGUAGUGGGGGAUAACGCAGCGAAAGUUGUGCUAAUACCGCAUACGAUCUACGGAUGAAAGCAGGGGAUCGCAAGACCUUGUGCUAUACGAGCGGCCGAUGUCGGAUUAGCUAGUUGGUGAGGUAAAGGCUCACCAAGGCGACGAUCCGUAGCGGGUCUGAGAGGAUGAUCCGCCACACUGGGACUGAGACACGGCCCAGACUCCUACGGGAGGCAGCAGUGGGGAAUUUUGGACAAUGGGCGCAAGCCUGAUCCAGCAAUGCCGCGUGCAGGAAGAAGGCCU